CCUUCCCCCCCUAUACCACUCUACUCCACUCCACCCUACUCUAACUCUACUCUUGGAAAGAAAGACUGUAGCAGAGCAGAGAUCUAUGGGAGACAGCAUGUGUCACAAAUGUAUCAGAGAGACCAGAUGACACCAUUCCCCUAGAAAGGGCCUUGCAGGUUUUCCACAGCAUCCUUCUUCGCCCGGAAGAUGCUAUAUGAGGUGACAUCUAAGGAGAUAGUGCUUGUAAGGGAAUCUGCACUCAGAGCUCAAGUCCUAAGCACCUCGACGGCCCUGGACGUGAGCCCUGUCCUCGCGUCUCCCAGCGUUUGUGGCUGAGGCUGGGUGCUAGAUAGACGACAAAAGCACUUCCCGCACCCCUCCUCCUGUGUGCGGGGUGACGGGGUGCCCGGUGCCAGGUUCCCAACCCCGCCCCACCUCCACCCUGCAGCUUUGUUCUGGUCUCGCAGCGCUGAAGACACUCGCCUACUGCUCUCCAGGAGGACGGAGCGGCUGUAAUGGGAACGGACAGGUAGGGGGAGCAGUGGUGGCAGGGCUGGUGGCGCAGCAGCACUUCCUUCCUAACAGGACUUGGGGUCCCGGUGCUGCUUCCUGCUGUGGGCACCUCCCUGCUCCCGCGGGGGUAGGGGUGCCUGGGGACACGGCAUCCUGGGGGCAGCUGCACCUUGCCUGCCCUCCUCCACCGGCAGUGAAGGUGCAGCGAUGCAGCUGGCUUCUGCUGGAGGUUGUGAGCAAGAAACGCCAGAAGCUGCCCAACAGCGUGAAGCUCUCCGUUCCGGAGAAGCCGUAGGGAGGAUGACGGCAACGACGGAUGUUAAUGAAGAGCAGCCUGCAGAGGAAAAAAGAAAGGAUGUGGGGAGAGGGGUGCCCUCCGGCUGAGGAGGGGACCCCGUGCGUGGAGGUGAGAUGGGGCUUAGCCCUGAAGUUUUCAAGGGUUCCCCUUGCGUGCGGGUCAAACUGGGGUGCCCUCCGGCUGAGGAGAGGACCCCGUGCGUGGAGGUGAGAUGGGGCUUAGCCCUGAAGUUUUCAAGGGUUCCCCUUGCGUGCGGGUGGAACUGGGGUGCCCUCCGGCUGAGGAGAGGACCCCGUGCGUGCCAGUGAGAUGGGGCUUAGCCCUGAAGUUUUCAAGGGUUCCCCUUGCGUGCGGGUGGAACUGGGGUGCCCUCCGGCUGAGGAGAGG
rnacentral:lncRNA from 7 species